UUGAUUUAUUAAGUGAGGCGUUGUUUUUCUUUUACAUAUUUUUAUCUGUAGUGAUGACUGAUAAAUUGCCUUAGUUUUUCGACUCUUCGCCCUUCGGGAACAUCACCAACAUACCGUGUGUUCUUUGUAAACAUCGAUUAUCAAUAUAUGAACAAUCCAAUGGAUUUCAAUGUUUUUCAAAAUUUUCGAUUGAUUCAUGAUGGAUUGAUGAAGAUCGGAUUGGCAAUCAACAAUUUGGAUGGUACCAUAAAUAAUACAAUAAUGAAGAGAAACUGAC